rnacentral:rRNA from 1 species
AAGUAGAACGCUGAAGGAGGAGCUGCUUCUCUGGAUGAGUUGCGAACGGGUGAGUAACGCGUAGGUAACCUGCCUGGUAGCGGGGGAUAACUAUUGGAAACGAUAGCUAAUACCGCAUAAGAGUAGAUGUUGCAUGACAUUUGCUUAAAAGGUGCAAUUGCAUCACUACCAGAUGGACCUGCGUUGUAUUAGCUAGUUGGUGAGGUAACGGCUCACCAAGGCAACGAUACAUAGCCGACCUGAGAGGGUGAUCGGCCACACUGGGACUGAGACACGGCCCAGACUCCUACGGGAGGCAGCAGUAGGGAAUCUUCGGCAAUGGACGGAAGUCUGACCGAGCAACGCCGCGUGAGUGAAGAAGGUUUUCGGAUCGUAAAGCUCUGUUGUAAGAGAAGAACGAGUGUGAGAGUGGAAAGUUCACACUGUGACGGUAUCUUACCAGAAAGGGACGGCUAACUACGUGCCAGCAGCCGCGGUAAUACGUAGGUCCCGAGCGUUGUCCGGAUUUAUUGGGCGUAAAGCGAGCGCAGGCGGUUAGAUAAGUCUGAAGUUAAAGGCUGUGGCUUAACCAUAGUACGCUUUGGAAACUGUUUAACUUGAGUGCAAGAGGGGAGAGUGGAAUUCCAUGUGUAGCGGUGAAAUGCGUAGAUAUAUGGAGGAACACCGGUGGCGAAAGCGGCUCUCUGGCUUG